CUUACGACGUUCAGCGAGAGGAAUAGCAAGGCUGACCUACAACAGGUGUAGCAGUUUUCUUUUGGUUGUUUUUCUAAUCUGAUUUAUGUUACAUGGUGCUAGUGGACACAUAGUUUUGUUUUGUUUUUUUCAUUUUAAUUUCUUCCGUAAAUUAGAUCUUGCAAUGAAACCUUAAUACUGCUGAAUGCUCGUGGCAUGCAGCGAUGUCGAGAGAAGACUCUCCAUAGGAAAUGGGAAGUAAGCAAACAACCUUCAGAGAUGACCAACUCGACGAGUACCAGGACUGCACAUUUUUUACCAGUAAAGAAAUUCUGCGGUUACAUGGGCGGUUCCGAGAACUGGCCCCCAACCUGGUUCCCCUGGACUACACAAACAAUCCUGAUAUUACCCUCACCUCCUGUCUCAUCACCGCCAUGCCUGAACUUAAGGAAAACCCUUUCCGCCAGCGCAUAGUGGAGACCUUCUCAGAGGAUGGCAGUGGGGACCUCAGCUUCAGUGAUUUCGUGGACAUGUUCUCCAUCCUGAGUGAAAUGGCACCACUGGAUCUGAAGAUCACCUACGCCUUCAAGAUAUAUGAUUUCAACAUGGACGGGUUCCUGUGUGAGCAAGAUGUGGAGGAGGUAGUGCACCGGCUGACUGGAGAAGAGCUGAAACCAGAGGAGCGCAAGCUGGUCUCGCACAGGGUGAUGGAGGAAGCUGACCUGGAUGGAGAUGGGAAGCUUUCCCUCACUGACUUUGAGAACAUGAUUUCCAAAGCACCAGAUUUCAUUAGCACUUUCCACAUACGCAUAUGAAUAGCUGCAGAAUGACCAGAAAAGGGCCAUGAAGGAGGACAUGAAUGACUUGACAGAUUCUGUGGAGGAUUGUUUGUGUUCUCUGCCUCUGCUCUCUAUGUUUUGAUGCUGACCAAAAUGCCUUUAAGUAUACUGGUGAAAGGAUCUUUUGGUCACUUUCAAGGACAGACUGCACAGGAACUCUUGCAUAGUGAAGUUUUCAAACCUCCUUCUGACUAGCCCCGACUCCGUACUCUCCGUGACAGAAAUCUUUGUGUGAAGUUUCACACGGGCCUUCUUUCAGUUACUUUCCAUUCAAUUAUUAUCAUUAGAUGUGAAAAUUCUUUAAACUGUUGAAGGACUAUAGACCACCUGGGACUUGGUCACUGAUACUCUGUGCUACACAGCUGUGUAAGUCCUCCAGAUACCAUAAGAAUGUGUCUAAUCUAAAAAACAUGUUUCUGGAUUUGACUUUCUUGAAAUCUUUGUUCCUUUUUUAGUCUUAUUCUCAAUCCGAUAAUUUGCACACUAUUAUGAAUAUAAUCUUUGCUACUGGUAGAAAACCCUGAAACUCUGCUUUUAAUAAUACAGGCAACUAAUGAGAGAUAAUGUUAGCAAUUACUGGGAGAUAAUAUUUUAAAAGUAAAUCUUAUUUCAGAGCACAAUAUAGUAUUGAAACAGAAAAUCACUUCAUGGAAGAGCACUAAAUAUAUAUUACUCUUAUUGUAUUUUUGGUGAGUAUAUAAUGUUUCAUGUGAAACACUUUGAUUCAGUUUAUUGUCUGCUGAACAGAGAAUAGAAAAGGUGACUUGUUCAUAUUUAUCUUUUUUAUUUAGUCAUUUUAAAACAAGAGCAUUGUAGAUGUUAUAAAACUGAACCAAAGAGUAAAUGUCUGCCUGUAGGAAGGAGAGCAAAUAAAGAAAGA